rnacentral:rRNA from 1 species
GUAGGGAAUAUUGGGCAAUGGAUGCAAGUCUGACCCAGCCAUCCCGCGUGCCGGAAGAAGGCCCUCAGGGUUGUAAACGGCUUUUGACGGUGAAGAAUCGACAGGAUGCGUCCUGUUUUGACGGUAGCCGUUGAAUAAGCACCGGCUAACUCCGUGCCAGCAGCAGCGGUAAUACGGAGGGUGCGAGCGUUGUCCGGAUUUAUUGGGUUUAAAGGGUGCGUAGGCUGGAAGGUCAGUCAGCGGUGAAAAGCUGUCGCUUAACGAUAGUCUUGCCGCAGAUACUUCCUUUCUUGGAUGAGGAGGAGGCCACUGGAACGGAUGGUGUAGCGGUGAAAUGCAUAGAUAUCAUCCAGAACACCGAUUGCGAAGGCAGGUGGCUGUACCUUAAUCGACGCUGAUGCACGAAAGCAUGGGGAGCAAACAGGAUUAGAUACCCGGGUAGUCC